UGAUCCAGAGUACCACGGGACACGUGAAACCCUGUGGGAAGCAGGAGGGACCACCCUCCAAGGCUAAAUACUACCUAGUGACCGAUAGCGUAUAGUACCGUGAGGGAAAGGUGAAAAGAACCCCGGGAGGGGAGUGAAAUAGAACCUGAAACCCUGCACUUACAAGCUGUGGAAGCACAUUUCUUGUGUGACCGCGUACUUUUUGUAGAACGGGCCAACGAGUUACGUUAAGUAGCAAGGUUAAGCACUUAAGGUGUGGAGCCGUAGCGAAAGCGAGUUUUAACUGAGCGUUCAGUUACUUGACGUAGACCCGAAACCGGGCGACCUACCCAUGAGCAGGAUGAAGCGAAAGUAAAAUUUCGUGGAGGUCCGAACCCACGAGCGUUGAAAAGCUCGGGGAUGACUUGUGGGUAGCGGUGAAAUUCCAAUCGAGCCCGGAGAUAGCUGGUUCU
rnacentral:rRNA from 1 species